UUACAGGCUUAACACAUGCAAGUCGAGGGGCAGCAUUUUAGUUUGCUUGCAAACUGAAGAUGGCGACCGGCGCACGGGUGAGUAACACGUAUCCAACCUGCCGAUAACUCCGGGAUAGCCUUUCGAAAGAAAGAUUAAUACCGGAUAGCAUACGAAUAUCGCAUGAUAUUUUUAUUAAAGAAUUUCGGUUAUCGAUGGGGAUGCGUUCCAUUAGUUUGUUGGCGGGGUAACGGCCCACCAAGACUACGAUGGAUAGGGGUUCUGAGAGGAAGGUCCCCCACAUUGGAACUGAGACACGGUCCAAACUCCUACGGGAGGCAGCAGUGAGGAAUAUUGGUCAAUGGGCGCGAGCCUGAACCAGCCAAGUAGCGUGAAGGAUGAAGGCUCUAUGGGUCGUAAACUUCUUUUAUAUGGGAAUAAAGUUUUCCACGUGUGGAAUUUUGUAUGUACCAUAUGAAUAAGGAUCGGCUAACUCCGUGCCAGCAGCCGCGGUAAUACGGAGGAUCCGAGCGUUAUCCGGAUUUAUUGGGUUUAAAGGGAGCGUAGGUGGAUUGUUAAGUCAGUUGUGAAAGUUUGCGGCUCAACCGUAAAAUUGCAGUUGAAACUGGCAGUCUUGAGUACAGUAGAGGUGGGCGGAAUUCGUGGUGUAGCGGUGAAAUGCUUAGAUAUCACGAAGAACUCCGAUUGCGAAGGCAGCUCACUAGACUGUCACUGACACUGAUGCUCGAAAGUGUGGGUAUCAAACAGGAUUAGAUACCCUGGUAGUCCACACAGUAAACGAUGAAUACUCGCUGUUUGCGAUAUACAGUAAGCGGCCAAGCGAAAGCAUUAAGUAUUCCACCUGGGGAGUACGCCGGCAACGGUGAAACUCAAAGGAAUUGACGGGGGCCCGCACAGGCGGAGGAACAUGUGGUUUAAUUCGAUGAUACGCGAGGAACCUUACCCGGGCUUAAAUUGCAACAGAAUAUAUUGGAAACAGUAUAGCCGUAAGGCUGUUGUGAAGGUGCUGCAUGGUUGUCGUCAGCUCGUGCCGUGAGGUGUCGGCUUAAGUGCCAUAACGAGCGCAACCCUUAUCUUUAGUUACUAACAGGUCAUGCUGAGGACUCUAGAGAGACUGCCGUCGUAAGAUGUGAGGAAGGUGGGGAUGACGUCAAAUCAGCACGGCCCUUACGUCCGGGGCUACACACGUGUUACAAUGGGGGGUACAGAAGGCGGCUACCUGGUGACAGGAUGCUAAUCCCAAAAACCUCUCUCAGUUCGGAUCGAAGUCUGCAACCCGACUUCGUGAAGCUGGAUUCGCUAGUAAUCGCGCAUCAGCCAUGGCGCGGUGAAUACGUUCCCGGGCCUUGUACACACCGCCCGUCAAGCCAUGAAAGCCGGGGGUACCUGAAGUACGUAACCGCAAGGAGCGUCCUAGGGUAAAACUGGUAAUUGGG
rnacentral:rRNA from 1 species